GACGAACGCUGGCGGCGUGCCUAACACAUGCAAGUCGAGCGCUGAAGCUUGGUACUUGUGCCAACUGGAUGAGCAGCGAACGGGUGAGUAACGCGUGGGGCAUCUGCUUUUGUUUGGGGGACAAUAUCUGGAAACGAAUUCUAAUACCGCAUAAAAACUUUAAACACAAGUUGUAAGUUUGAAUGAUGCAAUUGGAUCAUUCAAAGACGAUUCCGCGUUUUAUUAGCUAGUUGGUGAGGUAAAGGCCCACCAAGGCGUGGAUACAUAGUCGAGCUGAUAGGGUGGUCGGCCAAACUGGGACUGGGACACGGCCCAAGCUCCCUCGGGGAGCAGCAAGAGGGAAACAUCGGCAAUGGGCGAAAAUCUUGCCGCAGAACGCCGCGUGAGUGAAGAAGGUUUUCGGGUCGUAAAACUCUGUUGGUAGGGAAGAAAAUGGGUGAGGGUGGAAAGCAGAUGAAGUGACGGUAACUAACCAGAAAGCAACGGCUAACUACGUG
rnacentral:rRNA from 1 species